ACUCUCCAUAUUUUGCACCCAACUCGCAUCCACGAUUUCCUCGGCUUAUCCUCUCCCACACCACGGCCCUCAUUUACGUAUCCCCAACGCAAUUCCGAUCUCCACCUCCGUAUAAUUACCUCAUUUCUCAAGGAUUUAAAGGUCCAAAGGUUUUGAUGCAUAAUUUGAAUGGGUAUUUUCUGCAUUUGUUAACUUGAACCAUUAAUUUUAAUUUGAUCCGCAGUAUCGCAUCUCCUACCUUCGGUUUUUGGAGUCUCUUCUUCGCUACUCUUAUACAAUUAUGAUCUAAUAUAGCACUUCCGUUUUAGUGUGUUCAGUAAGGUUGUGUACAGCUCUGAUUCAUGUUGUGGGGGGAGGUAAAUCUUCAUCUACUUCAUUGCAAUGGGUUUCAUGAUUUAGUAUUAUCAUCUAUUCCUGAAUAUGAAUGAUUUGAUUAUUGAUAUGUAGCAUUUUUAGAUGUGUUGGAUUUUGUGGGUGCUUGUUUUAGAUUUCGGUUUUGCUUGUUGUCUGCUAUUUGAUAUUGAUUUAUGUUAUUUGGCACUCAAAGGGUAAUAUCAAACCUUUCCAGGUUCUGUUAAUAUUUGGCACUCAAACUAGGUCUUUGAUCACUUGAAAUCACAAAUGCUGUGGCAGGUAUGCUCUAAAUGUAUCUGCAUAACCUAUCUUGCUUGUUUAUAACAUGUUAAAUACUUUGAAUGUUGAAACCUGUGUUUUCUUUGGAGAUUGGGUUCUUCACACACAAAUAUGCUCCACACAGUCAAGAAUUGGAAAGAGGAAUCCAAGGAGGAUAAGGCUAUCAUCACAGAUUCAUUGAGGGGGAGUUAUAAAAUAUCUUGCUAUGUUCAGGUUUUGUGUAAUUAACUGACUUUUUUUCCUUCUUCUUAUGCUACACUAUGCUUGGGUUCGACUAGAGGGACCGGGAUCUGAUGAGAUACAUUGAAGAUAAGAUGGCCAAGUUGUAUAGAUCUUAGAGAAGUAGGUUGUACAAACUUCAAGAAGCGUGCUAUGACCCUGCAUAUGCUGAAGCACACCCUCCCGACGAGAGGUAGACCAACUUUCUUCCCCAAGUGUUAUAUCUACUAGUUCCUAAACGACAGAGCACAAGUGGUUGAGUUGGCAAGCACAAUGGAGAAACUUAUAGGGCAUAUCGAAGUAUAUGGAGGGUCAAAUUGCCGCACUGAAGGCUGGAAUAUACAUCAUUCUAGAGAUGAUGAUGAUGAUGAUGAUGAUGAUGACGACGACGACGAUGCUUAUGUGGAUGGGGAUGAGGAUGAGGAAAGUCAUGAAGAUAUGAAUUAGGGGCCUUGGUGUUCUUCAAGCACACCUAGUUUUAUCGUCUUAUAUUUUUUUAUAUGUUUAAAUUAUAGUAAAGAAACAUGCUCGUGUAUGUGGAUUAGAUGAAUACUAAGAAUAUUCAGUGUAACCGAUGUGCACUUGCAUCAACAAGAACUGACGGUUGGAUAACAUCAAGCACAUUUCUUUUGUUAUUAGAAAAAAAUUGUUUAUAAAUAUCAACAGCUGAGAUCUGUUAGAUUUGUUGAUUCA